rnacentral:rRNA from 1 species
GAUGAACGCUGGCGGCGUGCCUAAUACAUGCAAGUCGAGCGAACAGACGAGGAGCUUGCUCCUCUGACGUUAGCGGCGGACGGGUGAGUAACACGUGGAUAACCUACCUAUAAGACUGGGAUAACUUCGGGAAACCGGAGCUAAUACCGGAUAAUAUAUUGAACCGCAUGGUUCAAUAGUGAAAGACGGUUUUGCUGUCACUUAUAGAUGGAUCCGCGCCGCAUUAGCUAGUUGGUAAGGUAACGGCUUACCAAGGCAACGAUGCGUAGCCGACCUGAGAGGGUGAUCGGCCACACCGGAACUGAGACACGGUCCAGACUCCUACGGGAGGCAGCAGUAGGGAAUCUUCCGCAAUGGGCGAAAGCUUGACGGAGCAACGCCGCGUGAGUGAUGAAGGUCUUCGGAUCGUAAAACUCUGUUAUUAGGGAAGAACAAAUGUGUAAGUAACUAUGCACGUCUUGACGGUACCUAACCAGAAAGCCACGGCUAACUACGUG